rnacentral:misc_RNA from 1 species
AAGCAUUAUUUGCCAUUUUUCUGUAUUAAUUGAUGAAAUUAUAGAGCUUCCAAAAUAUACCUGUGUGCCCAUAUAAACUGUGUUUGAACAGUUAACAAAUUUUUUUACAACCGUUUGGCAUAAAUGAAAUAUAAACUGUCUGCAAAAAAUACAUGUAAUUCCGCUGCCAAAAGUUAUUGCUUAAAUUAUGUAUGGCAAGACCAAUGAUGCAAAGAGCAUGUGUGAAACUUAAAAAAUAACCUGAACAGAAUAUUAAAAGUAGAACUUAGUACUAAAAUAAAUUCUAUAAAUUCUGUAUGUUAUUAAUUCAUUUUUUUCAUUGUAAAUUAGCAAAUUAAUUCUGAUACAACAGCAUUAGGAACAAAUUGAAUAAAUGUUUAUAUUUUGAGUGCAUGAAAUUGACACAAUUUGCCUCAAAUUUUUGGAAUCGCCCAUAUGAAAAAAAACACCUUUUUUUCUAUGACAUACAGGACCUCAAAGAUUCACAAUUAUUUUUCAAUGAAAACCUGCAGUGUGGUGACUUUGUUUUAAGUACCGUGUAAAAAAUUGAAUUGUCCUAGUCUUGCAAUAGUGUGGUUUAAAAUUUUACAAUGUUUCCAUUUUAGAAAAUAAAGUUUG